rnacentral:lncRNA from 1 species
AAACUGACAGAUGUGGUUUCCAGAAAGUCAGAUAAUUUAGAAGUCGAGAAAAAGACAAAACUAAAUGUUCUGGAGGCUGGAAGUCCAAGAUCAAGGUGCUAUCAGGGUUGGUUUCGGCUGUGGCCUCUCUUCCUGGCUUGUAGACAGCUAUCUUCUCGCAGUGUCCUCACGUGGCCUCUUUGUGUGAAGGAAGCUGCUAAAGAAUGUGCUUGACUAAAACAAGGCAAUAAGCAAAAGGAAGUCAUAGCAUCCAGAAAAUGGGAUCCAUCAUGCGCACAAAGAAAAGGUGAAGAAAAUUUCCAGGAUGUUCAGAACCCACCAAAAACGAAAGAUUCUGGUCCAGAUCAGAAGAGAGGGAAACACUCUGAAAAAGUCCCUCAAAUACAAAAUUAAACAGAGUUUAAAUGAUGUGCUUGACCACAAUAAAAGGCUUCUUGCUCUGUAAGAUUUCUGGAAUUAAUUAGUGAUAAGCAAAGAUAAAUAUAAGCAAAUCAUCACAACAGAGUGAACACAUUCCAGUAGACCACAUGGAUGAGCUUUGGAAAAUACAGAUAUACGCAUAAUGUAAUCCCUUAAUUUCUGGGAGGCUGGAGGGAGGGAAAGUUUGAGAAGGUAAAAUGUGUGUGUUAAGAGUGGGAGUGGGUAAUAUGGUUAGGCUUUGUGUUCCCACACAAAUCUCAUCUGGAAUUGUAAUCCCCAUAAUCCCCACUUAUCAAGGGAGAAACCAGGUGGAGAUAACUGAAUCAUUGGAGGCAGUUUCCCCCAUGCUAUUCCUCUGAUAGUGAAUUCUCAUGAGAUCCAAUGAUUUUAUAACGGACUCUUCCCCCUUCACUCAGCACCUCCCUUCCUACUGUGUCCGGAAAUGGUGGGUUCUUGGUCUCACUGACUUCAAGAAUGAAGCCGCGGACCCUCGCGGUGAAUGUUACAGUUCUUAAAGGCAGCGUGUCCGGAGUUUGUUCCUUCUGAUGUUCGGAUGUGUUCAGAGUUUCUUCCUUCUGGUGGGUUCGUGGUCUCGCUGGCUCAGGAGUGAAGCUGCAGACCUUCCCGGUGAGUGUUACAGCUCAUAAAGGCAGUGCAGACCCAAACAGUGAGCAGUAGCAAGAUUUAUUGCAGAGUGAAAGAACAAAGCUUCCACAGCGUGGAAGCGGACCCUGCAGGUUGUCACUGCUGGCUGGCGCAGCCUGCUUGUAUUCCCUUAUCUGGCCCCACCCACAUCCUGCUGAUUGGUCCAUUUUACAGAGAGCGGAUUGGUCUGUUUUAGAGAGAGUUGAUUGGUGUAUUUACAAUCCCUUAGCUAGACAUAAAGGUUCUCCAAGUCCCCACUAGACUCAGGAGCCCAGCUGGCUUCACCUAGUGGAUCCCGCGCUACACUGGGGCUG